UACGGAGGGUGCAAGCGUUAUCCGGAUUCACUGGGUUUAAAGGGUGCGUAGGUGGGUUGGUAAGUCAGUGGUGAAAUCCCCGAGCUUAACUUGGGAACUGCCAUUGAUACUAUCAGUCUUGAAUAUUGUGGAGGUUAGCGGAAUAUGUCAUGUAGCGGUGAAAUGCUUAGAUAUGACAUAGAACACCAAUUGCGAAGGCAGCUCACUACACGAAUAUUGACACUGAGGCACGAAAGCGUGGGGAUCAAACAGG
rnacentral:rRNA from 1 species